UGAUGAGGAUGAUGAUGAGGCGACCGGUUCUGAGGCCGGUAGUGAGGAGGAGUCUUGAGCCCUUUGUGGGUUAAGUUUUUGUUUUUGUAUUUCAGUUUUUUUUAUGGCAUUUUUAUUUGUACUUUUGAAUUUUGUAUUUUGACCAUGGGUUGUACUAUUGGGGUGUUUUGUCCCCCACGAACAAAAUUUUAUUUUUCAGUUAAUGUUAUU
rnacentral:lncRNA from 1 species